rnacentral:rRNA from 1 species
UACGAAGGGGGCUAGCGUUGUUCGGAAUUAUUGGGCGUAAAGCGCGCGGAGGCGGUCUCUUAAGUCUGAUGUGAAAGCCCCCGGCUCAACCGGGGAGGGCCAUUGGAAACUGGGAGACUUGAGUACAGAAGAGGAGAGUGGAAUUCCACGUGUAGCGGUGAAAUGCGUAGAUAUGUGGAGGAACACCAGUGGCGAAGGCGACUCUCUGGUCUGUAACUGACGCUGAGGCGCGAAAGCGUGGGGAGCAAACAGG